rnacentral:lncRNA from 1 species
GCGCGGCCGAGAGAGAUGUGCUGUAGCGCACUGCUGCAGUAUACUGCUGCCCCCUAGCGGGCGGACGCCCCGCACCGUCACACGCAGCUCAAAUAGGGAAGCGGCGCCGGCAAGAACGCGCGUCUCUCGUCGCAGCAGCGCCGGAGUCCGCAGCGCCCACUUUAAUCUCAUUAACGCUUUAGGGCUUCCUCUCUAAUUGAGUUAGACGUUGCUGAACUACGUUUGUGGCUCCCCGCGUUAUUUUUUUUUCUCAACAGUACUGGGAUAUACAGUGUUUUUUUUUAUUGUAUUUGCAUAUGCUAAGCCUAAGGGCUCCGCUGGAUCCUGUCAUUCUCUGGCUUUAUUUUUUUUUCCAGAACCUGACGCUCGAGUAACUAAGUAUUGGUGUGUGUCACUGCGGAUCUGCCAUGUGUUUCCCUGAGCUUUCUUCCAAGCAGAUCACUGGGGAAAGUAAAAGAAGAUUAUGAACCUUGGAAGUAUGGAACAUUUUUCUCUGGCUGGGCACUCAACAUACCUCCCACUCUACCUGCAUGGCUGCGCUUAAUACCUGUCACCAGGAUGAAGCGCAAGGACUCUUCAUCAGUUUUCAUCCAGAGGCUGGUUAUACAGAAAGUGAAGUUUUAUGCUACUGUUCUUGUGUCUGGGAAAAUACAAAGAGACUCUGUGUGUGUAAUGGCAACAAAGUAUGAGACAAAUGUCAAAUUCAUCCAAGACUUGUGAUAAAGAUGUGUGAUAAAUAACUUGUGAGCCCCUGUCAUGUGGCAGUUCUUCAGCAGAGCCUACUCAAGUGUGAACUGGUUAAUGAGAAACCGAAAUGAAAUGAGUUUGGUAGAGACCUGAUGAGGACAGGCAGGACAAGGGCAGCUGGAAAUAAGGAAUCAGUUACAAGUUGUGUUGCUGUUUAAAUGUGUUACUUAAUAUAAUAAAAUCCAAACAGAUACAAACA